UACGUAGGGGGCUAGCGUUGUCCGGAAUUAUUGGGCGUAAAGAGCGUGUAGGCGGCCCGUGAAGUCCGCUGUAAAAGUCAAAGGCUCAACCUUUGAAUGUCAGUGGAUACUGCCGGGCUAGAGUCCGGAAGAGGCGAGUGGAACUCCUGGUGUAGCGGUGGAAUGCGCAGAUAUCAGGAAGAACACCAACGGCGAAGGCAGCUCGCUAGGACGGUACUGACGCUGAGACGCGAAAGCGUGGGGAGCGAACAGG
rnacentral:rRNA from 1 species